rnacentral:lncRNA from 1 species
GUAUUCUGGGUUUUGGUUAAAAGAUGGGGAAAGUUUUAAUGGGGCAUGCAGGAAGAAGUGGAGAUUGAGGCAAAGGUGAUUGCGGGAAGGGUAAGCUUUCACUGGUGGUGGUGGAGAUUAGAAGAAAACGGAACGGGGACUAUCACUGAGAACAUCGUGAAGAACGCAGUUUCCCAACACCAUUAGCUUCCCAUCAUCACUCACACAAAUCCCAGCCCCCACUGUCAGCAUCGAUCACCGAGAGAAAAUGUUCCCAUAAAAAAGGGCUGCUAUCGCUGGUUGACAUUCAUGGGAGAAAAUCGAUGAAAAGCCC